AUGAACGCUGGCGGCGUGCCUAAUACAUGCAAGUCGAGCGAACAGACGAGGAGCUUGCUCCUCUGACGUUAGCGGCGGACGGGUGAGUAACACGUGGAUAACCUACCUAUAAGACUGGGAUAACUUCGGGAAACCGGAGCUAAUACCGGAUAAUAUAUUGAACCGCAUGGUUCAAUAGUGAAAGACGGUUUUGCUGUCACUUAUAGAUGGAUCCGCGCCGCUUUAGCUAGUUGGUAAGGUAACGGCUUACCAAGGCAACGAUGCGUAGCCGACCUGAGAGGGUGAUCGGCCACACUGGAACUGAGACACGGUCCAGACUCCUACGGGAGGCAGCAGUAGGGAAUCUUCCGCAAUGGGCGAAAGCCUGACGGAGCAACGCCGCGUGAGUGAUGAAGGUCUUCGGAUCGUAAAACUCUGUUAUUAGGGAAGAACAAAUGUGUAAGUAACUAUGCACGUCUUGACGGUACCUAAUCAGAAAGCCACGGCUAACUACGUG
rnacentral:rRNA from 1 species